AAAAAAAAAAAAAAGACUGAGAGCUUAGGGACUCAAACCUACUCAGAUACCACGAAGAAGAAGAAUUUAGGAGAAAAUAGCUUGGUUAUUCUUUCAGGCUUCUGGGGUAUAAAUAUAUAUUUUUUGUGAUACAAAUAAUUAAGGAAUCCCUUAACUACAAGGAUUUAAUCUUCUAAUUUCUUUGAUAAAAGGAAAUAAGAAAGGAAGAUAAACCCUAUACAAAUAUAGAAAAGCUCUAUAUUCAUUGUGCAUGUCAACUAAAGAGAUUUCG
rnacentral:misc_RNA from 1 species